rnacentral:pre_miRNA from 1 species
AAAAAGACAAACCCUGGUUUCCGUGUCCAACAUUUGACCGUCCGUCUUAUUUGAAAAAAUUAUAAAAAAAAUUAAAAAGACAAGUCACGUAUAAAAUAUUAAUCAUGUUUUAUCAUCUAACAACAAUAAAAAUACGAAUUAUAAAAAAUAUUUUAUAUAAGACGGACAGUUAAAGUUGGACACGGAAACCCAGGGUUUGCCUUUUU